GUAUUAUUUUAUAUGACUGUGUUUACUAUUUGCAUAAUUUCCCUUUUCUAAUCUUUUAAAAUGUUUCAUCUUUUCUACUGGUGACUUGUGUUCCAGUAGACCUUUGAUCUUUUCCUACUUUUGUUAAAGCCUGUCUUUGAUCUUGCCCACUUCCUGGAAGAAUAGAGGAUGUCUUUUGUGUCCUCUGCCUUUUAUUACUGACUGGUGCCCCAGUUGUGUACUCCUCCAGGAGCUGAGCAGGAUGUAGGGACACUUAAUCCCUGGUUGUUGAUCACACCUUGCAGAAGCUGUGAAAACCACAAACUCUGCUGAGUGUUCAUCUGCCUGGUUACUAAAUGACCAAUCGGCAUUAGAGUCUUGUGUGACAAUUUGAAGUUUGACCAAUGAGAGCCUGGCUAGUCAUGUGUUCAGGGCAUGGUCUUGGUGCUAGCUGCCCCAAAAUUUUAGCAGAGCUUGGCAUUCCUGAUUCUGCCACCGUGCUGACUGCAUGCCUACCAUUUUCACCAGCCAUUUUGCAUCAUUUUGUUGUUCGAUUGGAGGAUCCUGAUUCCAAGUUCCCUCCUUUUUGCACGAAUGUUGGCUCUCUGUUUUAGGCUAAAAAGACUGGACCAUGUCACUUCAAGGGAGACCUAGACGGGACUGUCUGAAUGUUCCCCGAUCUGCCCGCCUGACACCCUCUUACGUGCUCCAGUGAGUCGGAGACCCGUCACUAUCAAUGACGUCCAAGACCAAGACGUCCGAGCAACCCAGCUCCACCCAAGAUCCUUGAUAUCCGAGUGACCAAGUCUUCCAAGAAAACCCAGCUCUACCAUAGACACAACAACCAGCACUGCCCUAGACACAGCCACAUCAUCUAUCAAGACUCCGCAAGUAUAUCUUUGUUUUACUGUACCGACAAAUGACGAGAGUUGUCAUUUCUACUUCAUCUUCAACUGAACCCUUCGUCUACUAGUCUACUUACAUCGUUCUUCAAUUAUCUUCAAGUUCUUCUACACACUAUGAUGGACUCCGAACUACCGCGGAUGGACGAAUCGCGAGUCUAACCAUUUUAUAGUUUGGCGCCUUUUUUUUCUGAGCUCUAGCUUUGUAUUUUAAAUCUUACAGGAUCCUGUGUUUUCUGUGAAUUAUACUUAACCUCACUGCAUUUUCAUUUGUAUGGCCAUUGCUUGAGACCACUUUAUUUCUGGCAAUAAAACAUAUUUCAUUGUGUACGUAAA